GUGUGUGUAUGGUGCUCAACACCAGGGACAAGUGGGUUUUUGUGUGGUUGGUGUUCAGCACCAGGGACAGGUGCAUUAACGC
rnacentral:pre_miRNA from 1 species